rnacentral:rRNA from 1 species
CCUACGGGCGACUGCAGUAGGGAAUCUUCCACAAUGGGCGAAAGCCUGAUGGAGCAACGCCGCGUGGGUGAAGAAGGUCUUCGGAUCGUAAAACCCUGUUGUUAGAGAAGAAAGUGCGUGAGAGUAACUGUUAACGUUUCGACGGUAUCUAACCAGAAAGCCACGGCUAACUACGUGCCAGCAGCCGCGGUAAUACGUAGGUGGCAAGCGUUAUCCGGAUUUAUUGGGCGUAAAGGGAACGCAGGCGGUCUUUUAAGUCUGAUGUGAAAGCCUUCGGCUUAACCGGAGUAGUGCAUUGGAAACUGGGAGACUUGAGUGCAGAAGAGGAGAGUGAAACUCCAUGUGUAGCGGUGAAAUGCGUAGAUAUAUGGAAGAACACCAGUGGCGAAAGCGGCUCUCUGGUCUGUAACUGACGCUGAGGUUCGAAAGCGUGGGUAGCAAACAGGAUUAGAUACCCUUGUAGUC